CCUGUAAACAACUUCUCUACAUGGAUAGCCAGCAAGGAGUUCCAUUGCAAGCAGUGUCCAGUUCUCUCACAUAAAUAUAAGAGAAGAGAACAGGAGCAGAAGUGAAGAGGAGAAUUGGGAGCCAUCCAUCAUCAGUGAUUAAGGGGUAGCAUGAUGGCUCCAGUCCCAGUACUCAGAGAAGAAGAUAGCAAAUGCAGAGUCUAGACAUUCAGAAAAGCAUAUGGUAAUGAAUAAAGCCCCUGCCUUUUGCAAUGAGAAAUCAUUAACUUGUGUUCAGCAAAGAUCAAAUUCAUUUGACUGCUAGGAAAAGGAAGAGGAAGAAGAAGAUCGUCAUCAUCAUCAUCAUCAUCCUCAGCUUCUCAAAUUGGUAGUUUGGGUCCCCAGAGGGCAGAUACUACUAUUCUCAGAUAACAUGAUAAAGACAGUUAAUAGAAAAAGUUCUCUUAAGAAUCUAGUUCACGCCUUCCCAGGCCCUGCGCUGUAUCCAUUGAACCACUUAGCUAUCUUAGUAAAGAUUAAUAGGCCCAGUAGCCAUUGUCCGCCAUGAGACCCUUUGAGCAAUGAACGACCAGUAGAGACCGUCAUGCCCAGCAGCCACCACAAGAUCAGCAGAGAUCAGGUCCAUAUGUUCAAUGAUCAUUGUCAAUCACUGUGAGACGAACGGAGCAACAUGUCUAGUAAAAACACUACACCUAACAGGCCCAGUGAGAAUACAAAUGACAUCACUAGGAAAAAUUCACAUUCCUCAUGUAUCAAAAGCAUACAUGACCUUCCAGACAUGUGCCCUGGCCACACACGUUCCCUGUGUUAGUGCCUCUCAUGCCGGAUCCCAAUUCACAUUUACUACUAG